AUUGAACGCUGGCGGCAGGCCUAACACAUGCAAGUCGAGCGGCAGCACUUCGGGUGGCGAGCGGCGAACGGGUGAGUAAUACAUGGGGAUCUGCCUGGUAGUGGGGGAUAACUUCGGGAAACUGGAGGUAAUACCGCAUACGUCCUACGGGAGAAAGCAGGGGAUCUUCGGACCUUGCGCUAUCAGAGGAGCCCAUGUCCGAUUAGCUAGUUGGUGGGGUAAAGGCCUAACAAGGCGACGCUCGGUAACUGGUCUGAGAGGAUGGUCAGUCACACUGGAACUGAGACACGGUCCAGACUCCUACGGGAGGCAGCAGUGGGGAAUAUUGGACAAUGGGGGCAACCCUGAUCCAGCAAUGCCGCGUGCAGGAAGAAGGCCUUCGGGUUGUAAACUGCUUUUGUCAGGGAAGAAAUCCUCUGGGUUAAUACCUCGGGGGGAUGACGGUACCUGAAGAAUAAGCACCGGCUAACUACGUGCCAGCAGCCGCCGUAAAAC
rnacentral:rRNA from 1 species